UGUCAAUAAGAUCGUUGUUCAGAGAAAACCUCAUUUGUGCCUUUUUGCAAUCAGGGAUAUUUUCUUUGGAGAGGAAAUAACGUUUGACUAUGGCGCAUGUGAUUGGCCUUGGAGAAAGCUUUCAUUGAAGGAUGCCCAUAUGACUGCAGAAGAAAACUGCUCCGACAACUCUCUGAUGAGCUUUCAUUGAAGUAUGAUCAUAUGACGAGAAGAAGAGAACUGCUCUGCUCCAGUAGGAGACCCACAACCCUCUGAUGAGCUUAUAUUGAAGGAUGACUAU